GUAUUAGGUUGGUGCAAAAGUAAUCGCGGCUUUUGCCAUUACGUUUAACAGCAAAAACCACGAUUCUUUUUGCACCAACCUAAU
ensembl:miRNA